rnacentral:rRNA from 1 species
AGGUUGGCAACUAAGCGUACACGGUGGAUGCCACGGCAGUCAGAGGGCGAUGAGGCGUGCUAAUCUGCGAUAAGCGCCGGUAAGGUAUUAUGAACCGUUAUAUAACCGGCGAUACCCGAAUGGAAGCAGUGUGACUCGUCACACUAUCGUGUAACUGAAUCCAUAGGUUAAUAGAGGCGAACAGGGGAACUGGAAACAUCCUAAGUACCCCGAGGAAAAGAAAAUCAACCGAGAUUCCCCAGUAGCGGCGAGCGAACAGGGAGAGGAGCCCAGGGAGCCUGAAUCAGCAUGUGUGUUAGUGGAAGCGUCUGGAAAGGCGCGACGCGAUACAGGGUGACAGCCCCGUACACACAGCGCAUGUGCUGUGAAGCUCGAUAGUAGGGCGGGACACGUGGUAUCCUGUCUGAAUAUGGGGGACCAUCACUCAGGCUAAAUACUCUGACUGACCGAUAGUGAACCAGUACCGUGAGGAAAGGCGAAAAGAACGGCGAGGGGAGUGAAAAAAGAACCUGAAACCGUGUACGUACACAAGCAGUGGGGAGCACAGGUUUACCUGUAUUGACAUGCUGCACUAUUAUAAUGGGUCAGCGACUUAUAUAUUCUGUAACAGGUUAACCGUAUAGAAGGCCGGAGGCUCCAGUGUAAUUAGGCGUUGAAUUUGCAGGGUAUGAGCCAGAAACCCAGUGAUCUAGCCAUGGGCAGGUUGAAGGUUGGUAACACUAACUGCUGGAGGACCGAACGACUAAUGUUGAAAAAUUAGCGGAUGACACAAUGGCUGGUGAUGAAGGUAAUCAAACCGGGAGAUAGCUGGAUUUCCCCGAAAGCUGUUAGGUAGCGCCUCAUUGAAUUAAAUAUCUCCGGGGGUAGAACACUGUUUCGGCUGGGGCCAUCCGGCUUACCAACCCGAUGCAGAAGCACGAAUACCGAAGGAAUAUUUAUCACGGGAGCACACGGCGAGUGCUAACGUCCGUCGUGAAAGAGGAAGCAGCAGACCGCCAGCUAAGGUCCCAAAGUCAUGGUUAGAGUGAAGAGCUUGAUGUGGGAGGCCCGAACUUGGCCGGAUGUUGGCAAAGCAGCCAUCAUUUUAAAGCGUAGCAGCUCACUGGUCGAGUCGGCCUGCGCGGAAGAUAUGGCGCAGGGCUAAACUUCAUGCGCAGCUGCGGCAGCGACACUGUGUGUUGUUGGGUAGGGAGCGUUCUGUAAGCCUGUGAAGGUGUGUCGUGAGGCAUGCUGGAGUAUCAAGUGCGAAUACUUUGACAUAAGUAACGAUAAAGCAGCGAAAACCCGCUCGCCGGAAGACAAGGGUUCACAUCCAACGUUAAUCGGGGCGGGUGAGUCGACAGGCGAGCCGAAAGGCGUAGUCGAUGAGGAAGCAGGUUAAUAUUCCCGUACUUGGUGUUACUGCGAAGAGGGGGACGAGAGAGCUAUGUUGGCGGGCGACGGUUGUCCCGGUUUUAAGCGUGUAAGGCUGGUUUUCGAGCAAAUCCGGAAAAUCAGGCUGAGCGUGACGACGAACUACGGUGCUGAAGCAGCAAUGCCCCUGCUUCGGGAAAAGCCUCUAAGCAUCAGGUAACACGAAAUCGUACUGAAACCGACACAGGUGGUCAGGCGAGAAUACCAAGAGCGCGAGAGAACUCAGGUAGCGAAGAAGGAACUAGGCAAAAUAGUGCCAUCAACUUCGGAGAAGAGCACGCUGAUAUAAUAGGUAAGCGGUUUUACCCGUGGAGCUGAAAUCAGUCGAAGAUACCGCCAGCAGCUGCAACUGUUUGUAAACACAGCACUGGCUGGCACAGCGUGUCAGCCCGUAUAUAACGGUCCUAAGGUAGCGAAAUUCCCUUGUCCGGAAGCCAAGAUUUCCGGCCUGCGGAAAUGGCGUAAUAUUAGCGGGCGCAAUGCUCCACCCGAGACUCAGUAGUGAACUCGCUGUGAAGAUGCAGUGUACCCGCGGCGAGCAGAAAGACGUGAACUACUGUAGCUUGACACUGAACAUUGAGCACUUGAUGUGUAGGAUAGGUAAGGAGGAAGCUUUGAAGUGUGGACGCCAGUCUGCAUGGGUACGGCCUUGAAAUACCACUGCUAAUGUUUGAUGUUCUAACGUGGACCCACGUAAUCCGGGUUGCGGACAGUGGUAGGUAGUUUGACUGGGGCGGUCUCCUCCUAAGCAACGGAGGAGCACGGUUGGCUAAUCUGGUCGGACAUCAGGAGGUUGGUGCAAUGGCGCAGCCAGCUUGACUGCGAGCCGUGACGGCGCGAGAGAGCAGGUGGAGGUCAUAGUGAUCCGGUGGUUCUGAAUGGAAGGGCCAUCGCUCAACGGAUAAAAAGGUACUCGGGGAUAACAGGCUGAUACCGCCCAGAGUUCCUUAUCGACGGCGGUGUUUGGCACCUCGAUGUCGGCUCAUCACAUCAGGGCUGAAGUAGGUCCCAAGGGUACAUGGCUGUUCGCCAUUUAAGUGGUACGCAGGCACAGGUUUACAGAACGUCGUGAGAGACAGUUCGGUCCCCUAUCUGCCGUGGGCGCUGGAGAACUGAGGGGCUGCUCCUGGUACGAGAGGACGGAGUGGACGCAUCACUGGUGUUCGGGUUGUCAUGCCAAUGGCACUGCCCGGUAGCUACAUGCGGAAGAGAUAAGUGCUGAAGCAUCUAAGCACGAAACUUUGCCCCGAAUGAGUUCUCCCUGAGACUUUAGGUCUCCUGAAGGAACGUUGAAGACGACGACGUUGAUAGGCCGGUGUGUAAGCGCAGCGAUGCGUUGAAACUAACCGGUACUAAUGAGCACCGUGAGAAGCAACACUUA